rnacentral:tRNA from 1 species
GUCGUCUUGGUGUUUUACAUGUUAGUUUUUCGUACUUGAGUUAAUCAUUUAUUGAUUAGACGAUA